rnacentral:lncRNA from 1 species
AUAAAUCAAAUAACAAAUAAUACAAUCAACUCCUAAUUCCCUCAAGUCAAAGUUAGACACGACACUUACCUCUUUCUGCAAUCAAAUCAACACUCAAACACGGUCGUUCCUUUAUAAUUAGCCCCCAAACCAAUCAAUUCUAACAAAAUAUAGUUUAAAUAAUUUAAAAUCCAUCAAGCCUUCCUCUGUUCCAUCAAAUCAAAGAAUUUAUGGAGAUUAUCUCUAAUUUUAUCAUUAUUAUUCAUUGUCCAGAGGUCAAACGCAGUGACCUCGGGACAUUAGGAAUUGACCGAUGGACAAAUGGCUUCAACGUUCUUCCUCCUUCUUCCUCAUGCCCAGGUAAAUUCUACACUGUUUUCCCCCUAUUUUGCUUCUAUUUUCACCUCUAUUGCUAUCUUCAUGCAUAUAUAAUCACCAUCCACUAUUUGUUCAAAUUAUCGGAACCCUAACUGGCUUGAAUGCCUCUAUAAAGAGGGCAUUCAAUGUUCACACCAACACACCCAAUAUGAUCAGAAAUACCAAGAGAUGCAGAAAAAUACGAAGAAGAACAUUACAUUUAAAGUUUUUCUGCUAAGUCUGAGUUUCCAGUAGUAGUUAUCUAAUUUCCUCUUUUCUUCCUUUUAUCCUGCUCGAAUUCAAUCUACUGUGAGUUGAUCUUAGUAAGUUUGGAUAUCAUAGAUGGUUGUUUGCAUUUGAUUGGUUUGUUGCUCCAUGAAAGGUUAGUACAGACUGACUUCUUCUCUUUAGUUAUUCCCUAAAUUGGUUAUGUGAUGUUGUUUAUACUGAUAAUCACCUGCUGAGCAUGAUAGUGUAUGACUUUUACUAUGUCUUAUUGUUCAUAUUAUUUUGUUUUCUUUUAAGGAUGAUAAUGUUUCUUGGUAGUUAUAUUGCUUUGUGUUGUUAUUUGAUCUGUGAUGAUUAUUGAACCUUAACUCUUCUGGUUUAGUUAUUUAAGAUGGUUCUACGCCAUCCUCAUGGCCAAAUCCUGUUAAGCUUCAUGAUUAAAUAGAUUAAACCUUAUGUUGAUACUAUGUGUGUUCCAUCUCUGUUAGUUAAGUGAUAGCUAUCAUACCAGCUAAAUCGAUCGAGUCAUGAUGGUAAGCUUCCUCUGAUGUUCUGUUAAAACUUUACGUAUGUCGCACUAUGCCUUAUUGAUCCUCAUGUUUGUGAUGUUGUGGCCCAUUAUUUAAUUCAAUAAAGAGUGGUUCUUAAUGCAGUUUUUGUCUUUUAAUUGAUCUGUCUGUUUAAUGACCUUGGUUGGCAGUUUUGUUAUUGAAACCAUGCCUAUUCUGUACACUUAGUGAUCCAUGCAAGUCAAUCAUUGUAGUUUGAAAUCAUGUGCUGAACCUGUUAGCAGAGCUAUCCCUUAUUUCCCACUUGUCAUGUCCCUCUGCUAUCUCAUGACCAUGAACAUUGUGGGAGUGGUUAUCUAAAAUCUUUAUUGUUAUGAUGGUUGAAUGACUCUUAUUGACUGUUAUGCUUGUGCUCACACUCAUCAUGCUACUUCUGCUAGUCCAAUGAUGUUUAUGAACCCUUCUUAUGCCCUUAGCUUAAGAUAAUUGUAUGCUUGGAUCACUGUGUUGCCUGCUAAGAUUUAUACUUACAAUCAUAUGCAAUCUUGACCCUCCCAUAGUGUUAUGUUGCACUCAAAUGAACAAUCCACAUUAAGAGGCUUGCUCCUAUUUUCUCAUGUUAAUCUAUUUUAUUUAAAUAACUCUAGACUUGAUUAUGUUGCCAUGAGAUUGCUUAUCAAGAUAACAUGUGUACAUGAAGAUCAUAAAUUGAACUCUAUUUGUGUAACGUGUUAAUGAACUCACUUACCUAUUUAAAUGGAAUUACUAUGGCAUGUUUGUUUUGUUCUAAUCAAUUAAGAAUGGACACCUCUUCCUACUGCUCCAUGUCUAUUUAAUACUACUGUGUAUAGGAGAACCUGAUCAUGAACUGGAGUGUUAUUUGGCUGUAACAGUUUGAAAACCUAUUAAAUUGUACAUUGUUACUACUAGAUAUCAUGAUAUUAGGAAAAACUGACUUUUCUGCUUACAUGGAUGUCUCUAUUGUUUGCUAUCAUCUUAGGGAAGUUUGAAUCAGUUGUUAGUGUAGUUGUUCAACGAAGUAAGGUCUCAGUCAUGUGAAUGUUAGCUCUGGACUGUUUUGAAGAUUACUUAAAUGUUUGUUGACUUAUCCUAGGUGUUAUGAACUUGUUUAAUGAACCUGAAGUGUUAAACCUUCAUUAGGGCUAAUAAAAUUAAUGUACAUGUCCUUCCUUGUCACUUACUAAUGCUCAGAUCAUUUAACCAGGCAUUUCUAGGUUUGAAUUGGUUAGGAAUAGCAUUCAUCUUCUCAUAAUAUGCCACUAGCUUUCCUUGUUUUAUAUCUGUGUUCUUAGUAAUAAUCUUCCUAAUUGUUAUGAUGCAUGUUAUGAUCAACUUAAGGCCAUUGAUAUUACUAGACCCUAUUAGUCUAUUUGCAGUAGUUUGCCUUUAUACUUAGUGUUCUAGUAGGGGACCCCAAGGUCAAUAUUAUGAUUGGUUUUGAAUUGUUCAUCUCUUUGUACUUUAAUGACAAGGCUAAUAUUCUCUAUAAUUGUUUGUUGGACUUCUGUCUGAACCUCUAUGUUUAGUUCUGAUAAUGUGAAACUUUUAACUUGAUAUUUAUUUGUGUCUAAACCCUUGAAGAAGAGUAAGAGUAGAUGGCUAAGAGCAUUUAUGGUUGAUUUGGUAUAUGGUUAAUGUACUCUUCCCUAACACAAGCACUGCUCGGGGUCCGUGAGACCCUCUUGAACUCUAAAGUGCCAAGGGUCCAGAAGGGAGAUUUUAUACAUAAACAAAAUUUACUUUAAGCCUUUGGUCAUUAACUUUUAUUAAUACCCAUAAGAUUAACACAAAUAAGAACUAACUUUACUAUAUUCCUCAGCUCUUUAUUAUUGCUUGUCGUGAUGUUAUUUCUAUAUACUAAUCCCUUGUUCUCUUUGCAUCCAGACUUGGGCUGUUUUUCCCUGCACAGAGGAGUCUGCCGCUAUUGAUCUAAAUCCUACUAGGCAUGCUUACCAGCCCAAUUAUCAAAGAGUCCAACCCUCUUCUCUUUUACCUUAAAUAAUAUUUGUUGUUAUUUGCCAUUCUAUAUAUGUAUAUUUGAAAGACAAAUAGUUUUAUUAGAAUAUUUUUAUACUUUUAUUGUCUAAGAACAUAGGCAAACCAAGACUUGUAGGUAAAAGUUAAAUUAGCAAUUUUGCUUACCUUAGUUACUCUGACAUUUGAUUACUAUUAAUUUUAAACUGAUAUUUUCAACAAAUGAAUAGUUUUAUCUAUGUUAUCACU